rnacentral:rRNA from 1 species
UACGUAGGGAGCGAGCGUUAUCCGGAAUUAUUGGGUGUAAAGGGUGCGUAGACGGGUAAAUAAGUUAGUUGUGAAAUCCCUCGGCUCAACUGAGGAACUGCAACUAAAACUGUAUAUCUUGAGUGCGGGAGAGGAAAGUGGAAUUCCUAGUGUAGCGGUGAAAUGCGUAGAUAUUAGGAGGAACACCAGUGGCGAAGGCGACUUUCUGGACCGUAACGGACGUUGAGGCACGAAAGUGUGGGGAGCAAACAGG